CUGAUCCAGCCAUGCCGCGUGUGUGAAGAAGGUCUUCGGAUUGUAAAGCACUUUAAGUUGGGAGGAAGGGCUGCUGGUUAAUACCCUGCAAUUUUGACGUUACCAACAGAAUAAGCACCGGCUACUUCGUGCCAGCAGCCGCGGUAAUA
rnacentral:rRNA from 1 species